UUAGUGAACAUCUGCAGAGUAACAACCGUUACACGACAUCACAGCCAUCGGACCUUUCUGGAGUCCAGAACCAGAACCGUGAAGCUCCCCGUCCGUCUCACUAGUUGCAGAAGAACCUCGGAGAAAAUGGUUCCGUCCUGAUGACGCAGAUGUUUGCUCCGCCUCCUGCAGCUCAGAUUUCAGACCAAAGAUGGAAGACGUGCUGUUGGAGUCCAAACCUUCUGGGAAUGUGGACCUCAUCUGCUUCGGUGGGCCGGAGCAUCUUCACAGGAAGGAGACGCAGAUGCUGCGGCUGAUCUAACAGGAGCAGCUGCUCCUCCUUCCUGUAGGCGUCUGCAGAAGAUCACGCCGUUC